AGCCGCCGCCGCCCCAGUAGCGGCUACUGCUCCUCCCCCCCAGCUCCUCUCACGCUGUUGCUCUCCCCCCCCCCCCCAGAAGUAACCCUGGUAACGGUGUCCGUGGCGAGCUGGGAGGCGGCCUCCAAACACAAACAAUUCCUUCCUCCUCUCCCCGCCCCGCCCCGCCCCGCGUGUCCCGGGGAGCUGAGGUCUCCCAGCCAAUCCCCCUACCUCCCCUACCCGUGGCCCGGGGGUAGAAAAGGAGGCGUCGUGACGGGCUUUGGGAGCAAGAGGAAAGGAGAUGGCGGACACAUUGCUGUCACUCUUCCUCGGGACACCCAGUCUAAUCCAUCCUAGGGAUAGGGGAGCAGCAGUGGGACGCGUGGCCGAGCUCCUGCCCUGAUUCCCCCGGCCUCUGGCGCCAAGCUGCCAGGUUUCCUGGAUCUCUCUCCGGGACCCACAUGCGCACGCCGUCCGGUUCAGGAAGGACUCCCUCCCUCGGUCCGCCUAAAAGGGGAACUUGGCAAGGAGAGAGGUCCCUGCCCACCGGCUUGGAGGAAUGAUCUCUAGGAAGGAGGGGGAGGGGCGUAAAGAAAUACCACCUUCUGCCAGAGGCAGGGCCCCCCACCCACCCAGGCGCGGGCAGGAGCUCAGGGCUCGCCCAUCACUGCUUGCUCUCCCGACCCUGGGCUCCCGGCUGGUACUGCUCCCAGGGCUUGGGCACUGGGGACAAGGGGGGAGGGGAAGGGACGCGCGGAAUGCCUGAGACAGGAAACAACUUGUUCCUGAGGAGCUGGGAUUUCCAGGGGGCAACCGCACCCAUUACUCAGGCUCCUCACAACUCCCGGGACUCCUCCCAUUCCUUUUAACUUCACUGAGAGCCAGCACCGAGGCGCAGGGGACAGGUUUAGACACCAUGCCCUUCUCCACGUUGUUUGUUUGACUGUAGGAUGGGAGGAGGGAGCAUUGCAGACUUCCACGGAGGAGGUUCUAGUCUCUCGAUGAAGGGUUGGGGUUCGAAGCACACUAGAGGAAUGACAAGACUGAAUUAAGAUGUUCCCUGAAUUUAACCACUCCCAAACAAAGGCGAGGGGAUGGGGGUGGGGAAGAAGAUUUUACAAGGGAUAAAAGAGGGACUCCAUUCAAAAUAAACCUCCCCUUAAAAGUUACGUUUCGAGUCAUUAAUUCACAGAGAAAAUCUACCGCUUCAAGAAGAAAGCCUCCAUAUUACACGACAGUUAAUCCCGAAGUCAAAGACUGGGAACUAUAGGUUCUCUGAUGAGCAGGAAAUCUUCCCAGACAGGUAUAGCAGCGGAGUCUCAAAUGCCACUCAGAGAGAGGUGGAGUGGAAGAAAAGAAGGUCCAAGUUACAAUUUGCUAGUAAUAACGGGCCUUGAGGACAAGAACCCGUUUUGCUCCUAUUUAUAAGCUUGAGAACAUUCAUUACAUCAAUGCCUUGCACCUCAUAGAUUCUCAAAGAAAGACUUGUUGAAUUGCUAAAGAGAGGGGAAAACUCAAGAAGGAACUUUUUCAAGUUAGCAACACAAGAAAGCAAUAAACUGUGGCUAUGGAAA